CACGUGGGGUGCGAGCGUUGUCCGGAAUUAUUGGGCGUAAAGAGCUCGUAGGCGGUGUGUCGCGUCGGCCGUGAAAACCUGCAGCUUAACUGUGGGCGUGCGGUCGAUACGGGCAUCACUGGAGUUCGGCAGGGGAGACUGGAAUUCCUGGUGUAGCGGUGAAAUGCGCGGAUAUCAGGAGGAACACCGGUGGCGAAGGCGGGUCUCUGGGCCGAUACUGACGCUGAGGAGCGAAAGCGUGGGGAGCGAACAGG
rnacentral:rRNA from 1 species